rnacentral:rRNA from 1 species
UACGGGGGGGGUAAGCGUUGUUCGGAAUUACUGGGCGUAAAGGGCUCGUAGGCGGCCAACUAAGUCGGACGUGAAAUCCCUCAGCUUAACUGGGGAACUGCGUCCGAUACUGGAUGGCUUGGAUUUGGGAGAGGGAUGCGGAAUUCCAGGUGUAGCGGUGAAAUGCGUAGAUAUCUGGAGGAAUACCAGUGGCGAAGGCGGCCUUCUGGACUGACACUGACGCUGAGGCGCGAAAGCCAGGGGGAGCAAACGGG